CGUGAGCGAUGAAGGCCCUCGGGUUGUAAAGCUCGUGUGGGGAGAGACGAAUAAGGUGAGGUUAACACCUUCACUGAUGACGGUAUCUCUUUAGCAAGCACCGGCUAACUCUGUGCCAGCAGCCGCGGUAAGACAGAGGGUGCAAACGUUGUUCGGAAUUACUGGGCGUAAAGCGCGUGUAGGUGGUCUCGCAAGUCGGAUGUGAAAUCCCAGGGCUCAACCCUGGAAGAGCACCCGAAACUGCAAGACUGGAGUCCUGGAGAGGAAGGUGGAAUGCUUGGUGUAGAGGUGAAAUUCGUAGAUAUCAAGCGGAACACCAGUGGCGAAGGCGGCCUUCUGGACAGUGACUGACACUGAGACGCGAAAGCGUGGGGAGCAAACAGGGAUUAGAUACCCUGGUAGUCCACGCCGUAAACGAUGAGUGCUAGGUGUCACGGGAUUUGACCCUCGUGGUGCCGAAGCUAACGCGUUAAGCACUCCGCCUGGGAAAGUACGGCCGCAAAGGCUAAAACUCAAAAGGAAUUUGACGGGGG
rnacentral:rRNA from 1 species